GUGAACGCUGGCGGUAGGCCUAACACAUGCAAGUCGAACGGCAGCACAGUAAGAGCUUGCUCUUACGGGUGGCGAGUGGCGGACGGGUGAGGAAUACAUCGGAAUCUACUUUUUCGUGGGGGAUAACGUAGGGAAACUUACGCUAAUACCGCAUACGACCUACGGGUGAAAGCAGGGGAUCUUCGGACCUUGCGCGAUUGAAUGAGCCGAUGUCGGAUUAGCUAGUUGGCGGGGUAAAGGCCCACCAAGGCGACGAUCCGUAGCUGGUCUGAGAGGAUGAUCAGCCACACUGGAACUGAGACACUGUCCAGACUCCUACGGGAGGCAGCAGUGGGGAAUAUUGGACAAAGGGCGCAAGCCUGAUCCAGCCAUACCGCGUGGGUGAAGAAGGCCUUCGGGUUGUAAAGCCCUUUUGUUGGGAAAGAAAAGCAGCAGGUUAAUACCCCGCUGUUCUGACGGUACCCAAAGAAUAAGCACCGGCUAACUUCGUG
rnacentral:rRNA from 1 species